AUACGUAGGGAGCGAGCGUUGUCCGGAAUUACUGGGUGUAAAGGGAGCGUAGGCGGGAGUGCAAGUCAGAUGUGAAAUACAUGGGCUCAACCCAUGGGCUGCAUUUGAAACUGCAUUUCUUGAGUGAAGUAGAGGGAAGCGGAAUUCCUGGUGUAGCGGUGAAAUGCGUAGAUAUCAGGAGGAACACCGGUGGCGAAGGCGGCUUACUGGGCUUUUACUGACGCUGAGGCUCGAAAGCGUGGGGGGCAAACAGGAUUAGAUACCCUGGUAGUCCACGCUGUAAACGAUGAUUACUAGGUGUGGGGGGACUGACCCCUUCCGUGCCGCAGUUAACACAAUAAGUAAUCCACCUGGGGAGUACGGCCGCAAGGUUGAAACUCAAAUGAAUUGGCGGGG
rnacentral:rRNA from 1 species